GACGAACCGUGCAAACGUUAUUCGGAAUCACUGGGCAUAAAGGGCGCGUAGGCGGCUCCAAAAGUCAGGGGUGAAAUCCGGCAGCUUAACUGUCGCAGUGCCUUUGAUACUGUGGAGCUAGAGGGAGGUAGGGGUCUGUGGAACUUCCGGUGGAGCGGUGAAAUGCGUUGAUAUCGGAAGGAACGCCGGUGGCGAAAGCGACGGACUGGAUCUCUUCUGACGCUGAGGCGCGAAAGCCAGGGGAGCAAACAGG
rnacentral:rRNA from 1 species